rnacentral:rRNA from 1 species
CAGUCGAACGCGUCUUGGUUAUUGAUGUUAGAUGCUUGCAUUUAACUGAUUUAACAUUGAGACGAGUGGCGAACUGGUGAGUAACACGUGGGUAACCUGCCCUUGAAGUAGGGGAUAACACUUGGAAACAGGUGCUAAUACCGUAUAACAACCAAAACCACCUGGUUUUGGUUUAAAAGAUGGCUUCGGCUAUCACUUUAGGAUGGACCCGCGGCGUAUUAGCUUGUUGGUAAGGUAACGGCCUACCAAGGCAAUGAUACGUAGCCGACCUGAGAGGGUAAUCGGCCACAUUGGGACUGAGACACGGCCCAAACUCCUACGGGAGGCAGCAGUAGGGAAUCUUCCACAAUGGACGAAAGUCUGAUGGAGCAACGCCGCGUGAGUGAUGAAGGGUUUCGGCUCGUAAAACUCUGUUGUUGGAGAAGAACAGGUGUGAGAGUAACUGUUCACAUCUUGACGGUAUCCAACCAGAAAGCCACGGCUAACUACGUGCCAGCAGCCGCGGUAAUACGUAGGUGGCAGGCGUUGUCCGGAUUUAUUGGGCGUAAAGCGAGCGCAGGCGGUUUCUUAGGUCUGAUGUGAAAGCCUUCGGCUUAACCGGAGAAGUGCAUCGGAAACCAGGAGACUUGAGUGCAGAAGAGGACAGUGGAACUCCAUGUGUAGCGGUGAAAUGCGUAGAUAUAUGGAAGAACACUAGUGGCGAAGGCGGCUGUCUGGUCUGUAACUGACGCUGAGGCUCGAAAGCAUGGGUAGCGAACAGGAUUAGAUACCCUGGUAGUCCAUGCCGUAAACGAUGAGUGCUAAGUGUUGGAGGGUUUCCGCCCUUCAGUGCUGCAGCUAACGCAUU